UACAAUUUUAUCCAACAAAGAAUGAAGUUGUCAUGUUCAUUACAAAAUUACAUUCAUGAAGAAGAAGAAGAAAUAAUGUACAUAAAUUCGUCUCAGCGAACAAAUGUACUAUUUACUAGUGCAAGAAUCUGUAUGGUGGUAAGAAUGUACAUCUUGGUAAACUACCAGGGAUACCAUGUCCAGAACUGCAACUUCGCGUCCUCGACUACACUCGGCACCAUCGAGAUCCUUCGGUCAGUGUGUUGGCGUCUCAAAGCAAAAUCGCAACUAAACAUCAAGAUAGGCAUCUUUGGCAUACUGCUCCGGCUGAAUAAGUCAUUGCAUUGCAAAGUCCAUGGCUGCAGACAAGAGAUAAAGGAGUAAGUUUCAUCAAUAUCAACAGUAGCCAACAGUUUGGCAACACCAGAAACAAACAAUGCACAAGGAAGCCAUCAGGCAACAACAUAGCCAAGUAGCCAGAGAACUAAAUCUGGACAGCCACUAUGGCAUUAUCCAGCAACCUAAAGUGCAUGAUGCCUAAUGGAACUAGUUCUCGACAAACACUAUGGGAACACAAGGUGAAGUAACUAAUCCAGUUAACCUAAGACUUUAUGCAAUAGAGAAACUCUAUUAGACGUAGUAAUUUCCCUUGCUUUCAACAACAGCCUAGGCAAAACGCUAUCGGAAAUUAGAAGUCAUUGUGUCAUCACGAGUACGAGUAUGAACCACACUAAACCUAAACAUUACCACCUCCAAAUGGUAGGAACAUAUAGUCAGCCGUCACACAAUUUGAGCACAACCAUAGCAACAUCAAGGGACUAAAUCUACAAGUCUAUAACCAAGUAAAUGAAUGGUUCUAUGUUACUCAACAUGAACAAAGAACAGAGAUUAGGAAUGUAAACACCAAGUUCACAUCCAAGUACCCAACUCAAGAUCGGUGGAAACGAACGAGUCUCUCCACUUGACAAGGUCGUACAGUUCUCAUCAAUCACAUGUGUGUGCACCACUGUUUUUUGAGUCAUAACUAGAAAUCGACUCAAACACCUCGACUAGUCGAUCGACAAGGCAUGGCUCGUCAAGAGUCUCUACCCCAGAAUGAAUCGUCGACUCGAAAACCUUGGUGCACGCGUGCGCACACACAAAGCAUGUAUGUCCAGAUGACCAACCCACAAGCCAUGCCCUACCCUAGAGAAUACCAAAUACCAUAGCUCAAAGGCCAGGAUCACAACAUGGCCUUGACACGAUGGCAGGCACCACGAAGCAUUGGGUAGAGUAGGGAUGUGACCGAAAACAGAGAAAAGAACACGCAACUCGGAGUUAAAACACUUUACUCACAAGAAGAUGUGUAUGUACAGCAAGAAAUGGAAGAAACUACAACACUUUCGAGGCAUAACUUUACAACCAAGUUCCAGUGCCCCAAUUCGAUGGCUGAGAGCACACUAUGACAUCAUCGCCACAAGAAUCACUUUCAGUUGCGGCCAGAGCAUGAUAGAUAGACGAAACAAAGAACUUACGUUUUGGAGUUGUAGCUGAUGCUCAACAUCAACACGCCAGCAGCAGCCCACAUAACAAAGUCGCAGACCAUGACCAUGAUGGCCACCAGGUUGGAGAAAUGCAGGAAAGAUGAGACCACAACAG
rnacentral:lncRNA from 1 species